rnacentral:misc_RNA from 1 species
UUUUAUUAUUAUUAUUAUUAUUCUUAAGCUAGAAUGCAGCUAAGAAUGAAUUUUGAUCUAUUCUGAGAUAUUAUCUUCUGAAAAUGCUCAGUCAGAUUGAAUUUCCUUGAGGUUUUCCCUCUGCAUGAGUUUUUAGUGAACUUUGAAGUUCCAGCUGUUACAGUUUGUCUGCUAAUUGUCAGCCUUACUAGCUUAUGGAUGACAAUGAUUCUCAAAACUUUCUUUUAUACAAAAAUGUUGCACUGAAUUAAGUCACUGGAGUUUUAAAAACAAUUAAUUUUUAGUUCUCAUAUUACCUGAUCUGUACAUAAUUUGGGUUUUGUUAUUGAUUAAUUAGUUGUGUACAAUUAAAGUGCAAUUGAGUCAAAUAAUAUGAAAAAGCG